AUUGAACGCUGGCGGCAGGCCUAACACAUGCAAGUCGAACGAGUGGCGGACGGGUGAGUAAUGUCUGGGAAACUGCCUGCUGGAGGGGGAUAACUACUGGAAACGGUAGCUAAUACCGCAUACCAUCGGAUGUGCCCAGAUGGGAUUAGCUAGUAGGUGGGGUAACGUCUCACCUAGGCGACGAUCCCUAGCUGGUCUGCGAGGAUGACCAGCCACACUGGAACUGAGACACGGCCCAGACUCAUAAGGGAGGCAGCAGUGGGGAAUAUUGCACAAGGGGCGCGAGCCUGAUGCAGCCAUGCCGCGUGUAUGGAGAAGGCCUUCGGGUUGUAAAGUACUUUCAGCGGUGUGGCGUUACCCGCAGAAGAAGCACCGGCUAACUCCGUGCCAGCAGCCGCGGUAAUUC
rnacentral:rRNA from 1 species